rnacentral:rRNA from 1 species
UGGUGAAUAUUUCACAAUGGGCGCAAGCCUGAUUCAGCCAUGCCGCGUGUAUGAAGAAGGCCUUCGGGUUGUAAAGUACUUUCUGCGGGGAGGAAGGGAGUAAAGUUAAUACCUUUGCUCAUUGACGUUACCCGCAGAAGAAGCACCGGCUAACUCCGUGCCAGCAGCCGCGGUAAUACGGAGGGUGCAAGCGUUAAUCGGAAUUACUGGGCGUAAAGCGCACGCGGGCGGUUUGUUAAGUCAGAUGUGAAAUCCCCGGGCUCAACCUGGGAACUGCAUCUGAAACUGGCAAGCUUGGGUCUCGUAGAGGGGGGUAGAAUUCCAGGUGUAGCGGUGAAAUGCGUAGGGAUCUGGAGGAAUACCGGUGGGGAAGGCGGCCCCCUGGACGAAGACUGACGCGAAGGUGCGAAAGGGGGGGGAGCAAACAGG